rnacentral:lncRNA from 1 species
UGGAUCCCAAAGAAGACAAAUAACUGACACACCUCCCUCAUUUCAACUUGUUUUUGUCUACUUGUCUCUUUUUUUUUUUAAUACUGAUUAAUCAUCAGAUUACUGCAUUACACAGAUAUUUACAACAACUGCUAUUGUAGCAGAGAUAUUAUACUGAUAUUUACAAUAAGAUAUACAUAAUUGGGACUUAUAUUAUGACAUUGAAUUCUAUGAAGUACAUGCCUAAACAAAUAACUCCUCACAGGAGAGGGAUAUCCAUACUCCACUCGCAUUUCGCAAGGGAGAAUGAUUUUUUUGGAAGUAUAAAGAAUAUUUAGCCCCCACAAUGCUUUUGUGGGGGCUAGAACCGCUGCCCUCACAAGCAUUGUGAGGGCAGCAGCCCACCACUUCGGCCAAGG